AGUGACGACCACGGACGAAGGGGCGGUACGACCACGGUGAGAUUCAUGACUGGGGUG
rnacentral:rRNA from 1 species